rnacentral:miRNA from 1 species
AUGAAGUGUGAUGUCGACAU